rnacentral:rRNA from 1 species
UACGUAGGGGGCGAGCGUUGUUCGGAAUUAUUGGGCGUAAAGGGUGCGUAGGCGGUUUGGUAAGUCUUGUGUGAAAUCUACAGGCUCAACUUGUAGUCUGCACGAGAAACUGCCGGGCUUGAGUGUGGGAGAGGUGAGUGGAAUUCCUGGUGUAGCGGUGAAAUGCGUAGAUAUCAGGAGGAACACCUGUGGCGAAAGCGGCUCACUGGACCAUAACUGACGCUGAUGCACGAAAGCCAGGGGAGCAAACAGG